rnacentral:rRNA from 1 species
UCGCUCCUACCGAUUUCGAGUGAUCCGGUGAACCUUUUGGACUGCGCGGCCCUCCGCGGCUGCGCGGGAAAUCAAGUAAACCAUAUCACUUAGAGGAAGGAG